UUGAUUGUUAGAUAUUUUCUGAGAUGUGGUUCGACUGAUACUUUUGCUUUCAUUUUCUAAAUCACGGGUUAGAUUUUUGACAAUAACUAUGAGUUAUAAUUCUAAAUUCUGUUUGUGGAGCCAGUAAUCUAUGAUUAUAUGUAGUAUCUUAGAUGAGGGCUGAGUGGUUAGCAGAUUUUUUGGAUAAUCUACAAUUUUUUUUAGAAUGACCUGAAAUUGAC
rnacentral:lncRNA from 1 species